GAUGAACGCUGGCGGCGUGCCUAAUAUAUGCAAGUCGAGCGAACAGACGAGGAGCUUGCUCCUCUGACGUUAGCGGCGGACGGGUGAGUAACACGUGGAUAACCUACCUAUAAGACUGGGAUAACUUCGGGAAACCGGAGCUAAUACCGGAUAAUAUAUUGAACCGCAUGGUUCAAUAGUGAAAGACGGUUUUGUUGUCACUUAUAGAUGGAUCCGCGCCGCAUUAGCUAGUUGGUAAGGUAACGGCUUACCAAGGCAACGAUGCGUAGCCGACCUGAGAGGGUGAUCGGCCACACUGGAACUGAGACACGGUCCAGACUCCUACGGGAGGCAGCAGUAGGGAAUCUUCCGCAAUGGGCGAAAGCCUGACGGAGCAACGCCGCGUGAGUGAUGAAGGUCUUCGGAUCGUAAAACUCUGUUAUUAGGGAAGAACAAAUGUGUAAGUAACUAUGCACGUCUUGACGGUACCUAAUCAGAAAGCCACGGCUAACUACGUG
rnacentral:rRNA from 1 species